rnacentral:lncRNA from 1 species
CCUUUUUAAUAGUGUCUACUGAUAAAUUUUGUGCACUAUAGUACUAUAUCUAGUUUUGCAAGUUUGUGUUGUUAUUCCAUUCAGUUUGUCGAAUCCUACUAGUACUUUUCUUUAGAAAAAAUCUUACCUUCUGUGCAUGAUACCGCGUGCAGGGAGCAAUUGACAUCGAAAGAGCUGGGUAAAUGCAGCAGUAGACAACAACCUUGACGCGCCUGUAUGGACGACUCCUGCAGGAAGAAGUUUGUAUGGUUGAGUGACGCGACCAGCCAUACCGGAGAUUCUUUUAUUUUUGUCAAUAUGAUCUAUCUCAAGGCAAAAAUUGUACAGCGGUAGGUAGGUUGUAAAGUUGCAAAUAGCUUGAUUUCGUUGGACGGGCACGAUUCCUUUUCUUAAGCAUGUGAUGAAUGGACUCGGCUCCCCUGACGUACUGCAGGGCGCAGUUGGGUCACUGACAGGUGGGCCAACUUGCUUUCGGGCCCACCUGCCAGUGGCCCAACUGCGCCCUGCAGUAUGUCAGAGGAGCCUCGUCCGUGAUGAAUGGGAUUAUGGAUGUGUGACUGGAUCUCCUUUUCUUUUCAGCAAUUCAUCCAUCCAUGUGAACUUGCAAUAGCCUAGAAGACCCCUUUUGUUGUUAGUUCCUGUAGUGGAUUACUUUAUGUUUUUUUAGAAGGGGAUAACUUUUCCGUGUUCCCUCCUUUUAUGCCACCACUGAAAGGUGGAACUGGAUCAAUUAUGUCAAGCCAUUUAGUUGGGAAUCUUAAAGUAGAUGGCAGUAAAUAAAUUAAGGGUGUUGUUUUGCUGAAGGAGUAAACAGCCCUCUGCGGUACCUAAAGUUAACAUGAGUUGUAAAAAUCACCAUAACAUUUUCACAAUUGUGGCUAUCAAAUCAAUCAACUGCCACACACAAAAUGCAUAGUUGUUGUAAUUUGACUAUUCGUUAUGUAUGAUGAGCC